rnacentral:lncRNA from 1 species
CGAGAGUACAAGGUAGUGGGUCGCUGCCUGCCCACCCCCAAAUGCCACACGCCGCCCCUCUACCGCAUGCGCUGUCACCCAGUGCUACCGAGACAUGGGUGCCCGGCACCGCGCCCGAGCCCACUCCAUUCAGAUCAUGAAGGUGGAGGAGAUCGCGGCCAGCAAGUGCCGCCGGCCGGCUGUCAAGCAGUUCCACGACUCCAAGAUCAAGUUCCCGCUGCCCCACCGGGUCCUGCGCCGUCAGCACAAGCCACGCUUCACCACCAAGAGGCCCAACACCUUCUUCUAGGUGCAGGGCCCUCGUCCGGGUGUGCCCCAAAUAAACUCAGGAACGCCCCGGU